UGGUGAGAGUGACAAACUUCCCUGUUUGCCCAGACAGUGACAACUUCCAGAUGCUUCAGGAGAAAGAUUUCUGUAAGGAAUGAUAGUAGGAAAGCCGGCUCCUAAAUCAAAUUCUUCUUUACUGAAAAACUUGUGCCUGGCCCUAUCUGAAUCCUGCAUGGCUCUGGCUCCACGAUCCCUGGGCAUUGAAUUACCCAGGCAGUGACCAAGAGCACUUGGUGAUGACAUUGCACAUGAGCUGUGCAUUGGCCUGUCCGCCUUCUGCACAGGAAGGCCCUUUGGUAGCAGCCCCAGACAAAACCUCUCCCUUAAGGGUAUUUCAUCUGUACUUUAAAUGCAAGGAGGACAGUUCAUUAAAUAUGGGAGUAUUUCCAAAUCUCUGCUGCAUCCUGGUUUUAACUGCAGUCCCUUCAGUGCUGUUGAGUCUGAGUGGCAGCCCAAGCCUUGUUCCAGGAUGGAAAUGUUGCCACUGCCCCAGGAAGGUCUGUGGACCACACAGGAUA